CCUACGGGAGGCAGCAGUGAGGAAUAUUGGUCAAUGGGCGGAAGCCUGAACCAGCCAAGUCGCGUGAGGGAUUAAGGCCCUGCGGGUCGUACACCUCUUUUGCCGGGGAGCAGUGGUCCGGACGCGUCCGGACCGGGAGAGUACCCGGAGAAAAAGCAUCGGCUAACUCCGUGCCAGCAGCCGCGGUAAUACGGAGGAUGCGAGCGUUAUCCGGAUUUAUUGGGUUUAAAGGGUGCGUAGGCGGGCAUUUAAGCCGGCGGUCACAUGUCGGGGCUCAACCCCGGCCUGCCGUCGGAGCUGGGUGCUUGAGUCCGCGGAAAGCAGGCGGAAUUCGUCGUGUAGCGGUGAAAUGCUUAGAUAUGACGAAGAACCCCGAUUGCGAAGGCAGCUUGCUGCAGCGGAACUGACGCUGAUGCUCGAAAGCGCGGGUAUCGAACAGGAUUAGAUACCCGGGUAGUC
rnacentral:rRNA from 1 species